UGGUCUGUCUACAGAGACCAGAUGUUUUUUACAGUGUGUUCUGGGGACAGGCAGCUAGCAGAUAGUGAGGAGAUGUUUUUUACAGUGUGUGUGGGACGGCAGCAAAGCAGAUAGUGAGCAGAUGUUUCUUACAGUGUGUGUGGGACAGGCAGCUAGCAGAUUGAGGAGAUGUUUUUACAUGUUUUGUGGGACAGGCAGCUACAGAUAGUGAGGGGAUGUUUUACAGUGUGUUGUGGGGACAGGCACU